UGUGCCCCAGAGGUGUUGUAGGUGUGGCUGCUGUGCCACAUGUGAGUCAGUAGGAGGCACAGAGGAGAGGCUCUGCUUACCCUCAGGGUUUUGACUUAUGAACGUCUGAAUGAUUGGUAGCCUAACAGU
rnacentral:snoRNA from 1 species